rnacentral:rRNA from 1 species
UACCGAGGUCUCAAGCGUUGUUCGGAUUCAUUGGGCGUAAAGGGUGCGUAGGCGGCGCGGUAAGUCGGGUGUGAAAUCUCGGGGCUUAACUCCGAAACUGCAUUCGAUACUGCCGUGCUUGAGGACUGGAGAGGAGACUGGAAUUUACGGUGUAGCGGUGAAAUGCGUAGAUAUCGUAAGGAAGACCAGUGGCGAAGGCGGGUCUCUGGACAGUUCCUGACGCUGAGGCACGAAGGUCAGGGGAGCAAACGGG